rnacentral:rRNA from 1 species
AACGCGAAGAACCUUACCUGGUCUUGACAUCCACGGAAGCUUUCAGAGAUGAGAAUGUGCCUUCGGGAACCGUGAGACAGGUGCUGCAUGGCUGUCGUCAGCUCGUGUUGUGAAACGUUGGGUUAAGUCCCGCAACGAGCGCAACCCUUAUCCUUUGUUGCCAGCGGUCCGGCCGGGAACUCAAAGGAGACUGCCAGUGAUAAACUGGAGGAAGGUGGGGAUGACGUCAAGUCAUCAUGGCCCUUACGACCAGGGCUACACACGUGCCACAAUGGCGCAUACAAAGAGAAGCGACCUCGCGAGAGCAAGCGGACCUCAUAAAGUGCGUCGUAGUCCGGAUUGGAGUCUGCAACUCGACUCCAUGAAGUCGGAAUCGCUAGUAAUCGUGGAUCAGAAUGCCACGGUGAAUACGUUCCCGGGCCUUGUACACACCG